AGGUUCCACGUCCGGCGCCUGGAGAAGGAAGACGCGCGUCCCCGGCCGCGGCGCCGAAGCCGGCUGGGGGACCGCCUGGUCCCGGGCCAGAGCUGGGAGGCGGUGUUCCGUGAGCCGCCUGGUCUGGGGUGCGGGGGGCGGGAAGCGGCCCCUUCGUGUGCGCUUGGGCGAGGCCGGGCGGCGCUUCUGUCCUCCUACUCGGACCCGCAGGUGAAAGGAAAAAUUUUGGAAAAGUAAAACACUGAAGAGUCAUAGUAUUCUCCUGUAACUUGGAACUGGAGAGGAGGCAAGAUGCUGGCAUAGCUGUUGAACUGGGAACCUGCUAUGCCAACAUAUUGCCAUCUUUCCUGUCUGACAGCAGCCAUGGCCACCUGCAUGCCAGUCCUUCGUGUAUUGCUGUGUAUGUGCGCCCUUCCUUGGAUGUGGAUUUCCAUGACAUGGCCUUUCUCACCUUCCUUACUUCCUGUCCUGCUAUGUAUUGUGUCCUACCAUGAAUUCACUCCAUGCUAGCCACAUUGGCCUGUAUGGCUAUUCCUUGGACACACCUAGGAUGUUCUUGCCUCUUAGCUUGCCUACCUUUCUCUCAUCAUUUGGGCCUCAGCGAGGAUAUCAUCUCCUCAGAGAAGCCUUCUGUGACCAUGCUAUCUAAAAUACUCCAGCACUUCAGUCACCCUUUAUCCCAUUACUCUGCUUUUUCAGAAACAUUGGUGCUCCCUGAAACGUAUUUGUUUACUUGCUUAGUGUCUUUUCUCCCGCACUACCAUGUAAGCUUCUUGAGGGUUAGGGACCUUGUUAGGGAUAACCACUGUAUCCUUAGAGUGUGACACAUAGUAGGUUCUCAAUACAUAUUUUUGAAACUCUACCCUGAUGCAAAAGAGAUAUCAAAUAAUUAUAGUUUUUGCAUUAUAAAUGUCUUUGGUGAAAUCCCUGGCACAAAACUAAUAAUAAAGAAAUAAACAGAUAAUGUUGAGUUCUGGGCCUGCAAACCUAACUCUUUAAAGCAGUCACAGUAAAUGUGUCAUUGGAUCCAUAGACUUGUGGAAGUCAGCAUAUUUUAUUGGGAAAAGCAUGAGCUUCAAAGUAAAACUUAUGGUCAAAUCUCAUUACUGGUGCGUUCUUAAGUCAUUUAACCUCUGAGCCACAGUUUACACAAAUGUAAAAUUAGAGUAAUAAUAGUGACUCCAUAGGACCCUCAAGAUAAGGAAAUAAGGUAUUUUAGUCAGAUGAUUCUUAUCACAUGUCUAAAAAUUUAGUGUCUCUAAAAUUCUUGAUAUAUGCAUACCAGUAGACACUCAACACAUUUAUUUCACUACUAAGAAAAAAGUUUUCUUUAGUUAGAGACAAGGGAUUUUAUGUGAAAUGUGUGGAAAUUCUAUGCCAGAACGAUAGUACAUGUAGAAUUCUUUGUAAAGAUAGAAAUCUUGAGAGACCAAGGAGUUAAUUGUCAAGGAUCUCAAGUUCUUCUCCUGGUUAGUUCACAUUCCUCAUCUUCCUUUGUUUCUGGAGUUACUCAUUAUCUGUAGAUCUCUUUUAAAAGUGGUUUUUACACAUUCACUUUAAAGAGUAAGAAUGUUCAGUAAAUACAAUUGUAUUUUAAUGUUUAAUAAAUACUAAUGUUUAAUAAAUACUGUUUGAUGUUUCAUGUUUUUAAGCAUUGAAGUUUUAAUAAAAAGCUUUGCUUUUAAUAAAUAAAAUUUCAUGUUAAUUUUAAUGCUUUUCCAAGAAAUAAAGUAGCAGUCACUAUUCUCGAUUGUCAUUAUUUAUUAUUACUCAGGGUAUUAAAACAUACAGAAAGAUCACAUUAUACCUUCAUUUCAUGCCUCUUGGAGUAUAUUAAACUAAGCUGCUAAUUUAACAAAAAUGUGUAGCACAAAAGUGAGGUAGUUUUAGUCUACAACUUUUAUAAGCAUCUCUUUAUAUAAGGAUAAUUUGUUUAAAGACAUCAUUGUACAAGCUGAUCUUGCCUAUGAAGGCUUUUAAGAACUCACAAAACAGCUUUAGCUGAAAAUUAGAUUCACAGUGCCUUAUCCAUUCGUUAUAUUAAUGGUAAUUUGUUGCAGGGUCAAUUGGCCAGGACAUACAGUUUAUUACAAGAACUGGUUUAUUUAUUUUACCUAUAACUUAGUUUUAAAAACUUGUUUCAUCAGUUUAUUUGGGCUUCUUUUGCCUUUUGCAGAGUUCCAUGUACCCUCAUCUACAUCAGUUACAGACAUAUCCAGUGCCCCCUUGACCUCAAUGUAGUUGAUGAGCUGGGUUCCAUGUGUGGAAAUGAACAUUGCUUGCCAAGCGCCAUCCUCCAUAGCUGAAACGUGUUUUACUCUAAUUACUAAACACCUGAAGCUUCUUUUUUGAUUCGAAGUGAACAAUGUUUGUGGGGAGAAACCCAAACCCCUAAAACUUCAGAUUUAGGAACAUCAGUGUAAGAGACUAAAAUAAUAAUUAAUAUUCUGAAGUGUCCAAUAACUUCUUGAAGUCAGUGGUUUUUAAACUUCAUUGUUGUAUUAUCACCUAGAGAGCUUGUUUAAAAAUGCAGAUUCCCAAACCAUUCCCUAGACAUUCUAUUUAAUGCAUCUUGACUGAGACUUCAAAUCUUCAUUUUUAAUAAGCAUCCUCCUAUUGAUUCUGAUCCAGCUUGACAACUGUGCUUUGAGGCCGGGUGUGGUGGCUCACGCCUGUAAUCCCAGCACUUUGGGAGGCUGAGGCAGGUGGAUCACCUGAGGUCAGGAGUUCGAGACCAGCCAGGCCAACACAGUGAAACCCCGUCUCUACUAAAAAUAGAAAAAUUAGCCAGGUGCAAUGGCACGCGCCUGUAAUCCCAGCUACUUGGGAGGCUGAGGCAGGAGAAUUGCUUGAGCCAGUGAGGUGGAGGUUGCGGUGAGCUGAGAUCACGCCACUGUACUCUAGCGUGGGUGACAGAGCGAGACUCCAUCUCAAGAAUAUGUAUAUAUAUAUGUAUACAUAUUCUCUAGAAUAUAUAUAUGUGUGUGUGUGUAUAUAUAUACUGUCCUAAGUCUUAUACAAUUCCCAGUAUAGAACUUGGUCGUGGUCUUAAAUGCAGCCUGCUUUCCGACUGUAUCUGUGCUUAUGAAAAACUGGAAAAAGGCUUUGUAAUUGUCCUUCUUACACUGAGCCUUACAUAAACAGCCUUAUAACUAUUCACAGGAGCACUCACUGCACCAUGUAUGGGGUGAUGGUGAUACGCUUCCACAGAGUUUUUAACUUCAAUGCUUUUUUUCUCCAUUGGCUCAUAUUAUAAUUUUCAAGAUGUUUUCUUUUCUUUUCUGAUUGCCUUGAUACUGACCCAAAUCCUUUACCUCUAAAUAUUCUUUCUCUAGGAUUUUUGUCAAAUUGUAAAUGAUAUAUGAGCUCUUUUCGGCUACAGACUAGGUCGAAUUAUGCAGAAGGAAUUUUCAAGAUUUUUAGGACUCUUACUGUGAUAAGUCUUUCUGUAAACUAAAGGAUCAUAUCUUGAGCUAUUUCUUAUUUUUGCAGAUUUUAAAAAAUUUGAGAUGUCUUUUCCUUUAUGAGGUAGUGUAGUGUAGUAGUAGGAGUGUCAGAAUGAAAUGCACAAAGAUCUGGGUCCUAGUCCCAUUUCUGCCAUUUUGUAACCAUGUACAUGAGUUGGGGCAGAUCGUUUAAUCUGUUUUCUUAUUUGUAAAUUGGGGGUAAUAGUAGAAGAGAUUAUAUGGUGUAUUAGAAAAGAGGGAAAAGCAAAAUACAGCUGUGAAAACUAUGUAAGCAAAUUGGAAGACAAUUUAUAAAAAAAGUUGGGUUUUUUUAGUAAUUGUAUUUAAAUUUAUUUCAGUGUUUUAUUGUUUUAUGUUGUUUUUGUCUAACUUAAAUGUGAGAAAAAAAGCAGAGUUCUGGAUAGAAGGCAGAUAACCUUUGUUCUCAUCCAACCUGAAGCACUUAUUUGCUAAAUAAUUCCAGUCAAAAACAGAAGAAACGUGGUAUUUUAGUUUUAUCUUGAGGAAAGGUCCUGCUUCUCUUACUCUAUCUAAAAGCCUAGAAAUAAAAUGAUAAUUAUUCUAUGACUCAUAUACUUGCUUUUUAUGUUAUUGGCUUAUUAUGAGACUCAAAUCAGGUAAGGUAUAUAAAACUGCUUUGAGAAUGGUAAGAAGCUGUACAAAUAAAAGUUCUAAGAUAUGGCUUAUAAAUUCUUUUCAACCCUCCGUUUUUCCUUUCACUCCUACAAAAGUUUGCUUUUGAAAUGAUUAAAAUUUUUAAAAAAUUAAAAUAUUUUAUUCUAAGCCUGGCUAUACUGUUUUAAUUUGUAGGAUUUUAAUCGUUUACCAUUGUAUUUGUAGCAGCUAGACUGAUAGGAGAUUUGUGUUGUUGAGUCCAUCCCCUUUCAGGUAUCUCAUCUAGGAAUGCAGAAGCAGAAAGGUAGGGCAGACUGGCUGGAUCCACUAGAAUGGAUUUCCUACUGAAUCAAUACUUGUCUCAAAACCAUAUUAAAGCGAGGAACAGUGGCAUGCACCUAUAAUCCCAGCUACUUGGGAGGCUGAGGUGGGAGGAUGGCUGCAUCCCAGGAAUUAAGGCCAGCCUGAGUAACAUAGCAAGACCCUGUCUUGUAAAACAAACAAAACCAAAGCAUUAAAACCAAAGUACUUUUAGUUUUCACUGAAACCUACAUGAUGUUCUUAUUUCUAUAUAAUGUUUUGUAUAUUAAUAUACAUUAGAAAAAUACACAGCAUCUCCUUUUAAAAGUAAAUUUGUUUUAAUAUUUUUAAAAUUAAUUUAAAUAAAAUGUUAAGGCAUUUAUAGUCAAGGAAUAUGACAAAAAUUGUGAAAGUGCUGCUCAAGUAGCCAAACUUUGGGAAAUCUAAUUGGAAUGUGGGUAAGCAAGAUCCUCCUGUCGCGUAGCUGGGGGAGACUUUAUAGAUAACACGUUAGAUGUUACCUAAGGUUUCUUGAAUGCAUGGUUCAGUUUAAGAAGUAUGUUUAGUUAUUACUCUUGGAUGAAGAAAAUAUUAGUUUUAAGUGAGUGUUAAUGGACUUUGCCCAUGAACUGCAUACAUGGUCAUAUAUUUUUACUGUUAAGAAUUACUGAUAUGUCCCAGAUGUAAAGAUCAUAGUUUUUAUGUCCUUGAGAGCAAAGCCCAGUUGGUAAAUGAUAAGAAAGUUCAUUAUAAGUUCAUUAGUCAAUCUGAGUAAGUAUUUGAGUAAGUAUCAGGGCAGGUGUGUGUCCUUAUUUGAAGAUAAGAUUACCAAAGAGUGGCAGUUUACACUGUCUGAGCAGGCACAUAAUCUACAUGUAUCCAACAAAAGCAGAAACCCUUUCUGUCAAUAAAGUUAAUUUGAUAAGUUUAGGAGUCAAAAUCUGGAAGUCCAAAAAGAUGCAUAGUGAGGAGAAUCAUCAAGCAUGCAUGAGGAAACCAACUGGGAUGGCAUUACAGGAAAAUGAUGUAGUUACUUGGAAGCAAGCCACCUUCGUGGUUUGCAUUCUUUGGAAAUAUGUUCUAUCUAAUUGCUGAACUUUGCAAAAAAAUGAGUGAUUUGACUUGCUGAUUCCAAGUUAAUUACUUGGCCAUUGAAAGUUUUUAUAGAAGAGCAUUCAUGGAAUUUGUGUGACCCAGAAUGAUCCCUGCCUGUGUUUUCUCACCUGCCUUUCUUCUUGCAAACCUUUCCUGAUUUGUAAAACGUGUAUAAGAAACUCAAAUAUUGGACUUUGGAGACUUGUCAUAAAAAAUUGUGUUGAGCUAUUGCAGGAUCUUGGAGAGACAGAGGUUAUCUUGGGAAGGAGAUCCAGGUCUAGUGUACUUGAAAAAACAAUCGGUACUUGAGAAUGAAAAAGAGGUAAAAAAAACAAAGGAAGCAAAUAUAAUUGGCGGUAAGGUCACAAAUCCAAUAAUAAGAGAAAGCCCAUAUAUUAAAAUUGAAAUAUUAGAGUCUAUAGAUGCAUAUUUCCCUAAAUGUAACACAUUCAAAGUUAUUACAUGGUGCUUAUAAUUAUUUUGAAUUAGAUAACUCUUCUCUGCAUCAUUACCUGAAUUGAAUAUAAAAGUUCUAGCAGUUUUAUUAGAAGCACAGAAAGCCUUUUCCUGACUUCCUGUGCCAUGACCUAGAUUUUUUCAGUUAUUUAUUCAUCAUUCAGUAUUUAUUCAGCACCUCCCAUGUACCAUACAUAGUCCGUACCUUUCUAUGACUUGCAGUCUAAGAAAAAAGAUAACCAUUGCAAGUUUGAUUAUUAUGGCGAAGGACUUUCUUGUUUGUGUAUGGAAACAUAACAAAGACACCUAAUUUAGACAGGAAGUGGUAAAGGAAAACCACUUUAAGGAAGAAAUAUUAUUUAAGUUCAGGCAAAAAAAAAAAAAAAAAAAAAGGGGGGGUCGCGGGGCAGGGGAAGAGUAUCCCAGACAGCAUAUGUGAGAGCUGUGAAGCUAGAAAUCUUGGCACAUCAACAACUGACAUGUCUGGAGUGUUGAGAAUAGCGGUGAAAAGAGGAAAUGGGGUGCGCAAUACACGGACGGGGCCCAACACAGGUCUCCUAAGCCUUAUGAAAAGUACAAGUAAUAUCAUAAGUUAGAUGAGGGGCCAUUGAAGGAUUUAAUGUCACUGUCUCAUGAAACAAAACUUUUUUCUUGGAUAUUCACAUUCUCUCCACAGGUUUAUUCACUUCUGCCCUCUCGUGUAUCUAAAAAUUAAACUUCCCUGGAUGCUGUCACUCCUCUUUGUUACUGGCCCAUCCAUCAUAUUCUCUUUGUGCCCUAACUUCUAGCAAAAAGAGCUAAUAUUUAUUGCAUCUGUUUCUUCAUGACCCGUUACAAUCUAUCCUCUGUUCUCAUAAUUAGAUUGGAACUGCUGCUUCCAAAGGUGAGGUGUUCAUGACUGAAUCAUCAGCGAACCCAGUAGUCACUCGCAUUGUUGACCAUUAGUUCCCUCAAGGCUCCCUUUUUGAUGUUCAUGGCACUACUCUUAUUCAUCACAUUUCUAACAACUGUCUUCUCAGUCUUCUCUCUGACUAGUCACUGAAUUCACCCUUCCUCUUAAAGCAGAUUUUCAAUAGUUUUCCAAUCUUUUAAAUCUUGAUUUCUCUUUCUUCCUAGGGCAUCUGUAUCUACCAUUUGGUUUUCAGCUCUUACACACACUGAAGAUGUGCUACCUAACAUUUUUAGUCCAGACUUCUCUGCUUUACUGCAGUUUUGCAUUUUCUAGCUGCUUUUUAAAUCCCCCCAAAUGGCUGUGCCAUUUGUACCACAAACUCAAUCCUUAGAAAACCAGAAUCCUACUGCAAUCUAAAUGGCUUCUUGUCUUAUCUUGGUUAAAAGCUUUGCCAAGCAUUCACAUUGGGAACCUGAAUGUUACCUUUCAUUUUUUUUCUCACCUACUCUCACACCUCCUCCCCCCAUCUAAUCAUGUGUCAAAUCCUGUUGACUACAUCUCUGCAGUGUCUCUCAGGUAGUCACUGCUUCCCAUUACUGCUGCCAUUGCCUUUGUUCAUACCCAGCUCACAAGCAGCCAGCUUAAAAUCUUCUAAUUCAUCUCCCAGCCUCUAUUUCCUGCCUUUCUCCCAAUCUGAACCUGUUUUCCAUGUCUGCUAGAGUUAUCCUCCUAAAACAUACAUUUGAUGAUCUUAGUGUCUUGCUUUUUUACUUAAUAAAGUCAUAACUCCUUAGCCUUAUAAUUAAUGUGCUCCACAAAUUUGCACCAAACCAUUUUUCCUCUUGCAUCUCCCAGGUACCUGUGCCCUAACCAAAGCAGACUGUUCUAAAAAUCUAACACACAUUUACAUCGUCAUGCCAUUUUGUGUAUUUUUCCAUGUUUCUCUUUUUACUGAAGAACUGCCCAUCCCAUAAUGCCCAGUGAAGAUUACAUUUCUUUGAUGAAAUCUUCCCUGAUCCUCUUAAAUAAAAUUGUUUUUUUCCUAUGUGUCCCAAAAGCAUUGUAUGUGAUUCAAUCAUAUAAAGCAUUUGUUUCUGUAAAACAUCAUUGUGCACCUGCCGUGUUUAAAGGGCAGAAUUUAUUCUUCAGCUUAUUCGUGGUUGUGAGGGAGAAAAAAGAGAUCCUCCUCUAAGUAUUGUUUGAAGAUAGAGUGCAUGUCUUCUCUGUAUAUUUUUAUCUUCACAGUAUCUAGUACAAAACCUUGCACAUAUAACACAUUUGUUGAAUAUCUGUCAUAGCAAUUAUCAUUUGUUCUGUUUCAUAUACAAAGUACUUCCAAGGAGUCAGCUUUUAAGGUGUAAACACACACACACACAGACACACACGCACACACACACACACAAUGCUGCAGUUGCUUUCAAUAAAUGAGGACAUAUUUCUCUGCUCAGGCUUUCCAGCAGUGCUUUAUUAUAUAAGCUAUUCUGGUUAGCUCUAUUUUAUGGAUCAGAUGCUUGCCCUGGCUACCUUGAGGAGAAGGGGUCCAGUGUAAGAAUUUGUAAGGCCUGGGACCAGAUGAUGUCAGGAACCAAAGCAGCUUUAAGGGUAUGCUCUUUUCCUCACCUGUCAUUUUCUUUAUGACUAUGCUCAAUGCUUCCCUGCUCCCCUCUGAGAGUCUUUUUCACUUUAUCUUUUUUUUACUCGUUUUUCUCUUACCAUAGACUUGUCUUAGAGAGAAUUGUAUGGGUACCAUCAUCUGUCUCUACUUCAUGACCUUUCAGCUUCACCUCCCACCGUUAAUUGUAGCAGUCUUUACCUGUCCCAGUUACAGUUCCCAAGAGAGAAACUGAUGGGCCCAGUUCUCCUUUUGGACCAGUCCUCAUUAUAGGUUUCUCGCAUAGGCAGCCCUUUGGUCAUAUAUACCACCUCUGGUCCAACCACCUCCAGCCUGCUACACAACGUGGCUGGCUCAGUCAUAGGAAUUAUGAAUGGGGUAGUUCCUCUUCAUAAGGGAUGUGAGCCUUUUCUGCCUACACUCACCAAAUGCCAUCACUGGAUAGAAGUAUUUAUAUAUCUAAGUACACUUAAAAAAUUUGAAUUAUUUUCCUACUCUCAUAUCUUAACAGAACUUCCACAAACACUAAAAUAGUUGUAUUGAUUUAAAAAAUUAUGACCCCAAUUAUUGAUUCUCUCUUUUUCAUAAUGUGCCUUGUCCUUCAAGCCACACACUUAACAAGAUUUAGGAUUGCUAACAUUCGAAAAAGUCUUAAAUUUUAAAGAUUCUUUUUCUUUAUUCUUCCUCACCUUUUCUAAAUAGAGCCCAUGUAAAUUCCCAACAUUUCGUGUUUGCCCUCUCUUUUACUAUCUCUUAUUUUAUUGCUUCCAAUAAUUUUAGAUGAACUCUGGAGAAGAUGUGAGGCUGAGUCUCUUCACUUUGCGCUCAACUUUAGGUCAAGUUCUUUUGACACACCACAAAUGGAUUUUAUGUUCAGUGAUUUGCUGAGUGAAGAAGUUAGAGAAGCCAUGAAAAUAAAAAGGAUUUCUCUAGAUUAAAGUCAUCCAGUCUAAUAGUCUGUGAAAUUUCCAAGAUUUUUCAACUUUGAUUUCAUUCCUAAGUUAUGUAAUACCAAAUAUCUCAGUAAAUCAUUUUAUACCUAUAGCAUGAAUAUCCCAUUUCUAAUUUAAUCUCAUCUUUUGCUUGUCUUCAUGUGCUCCUGAAAACAGCCUUUUAUGGCUGUACCCAGAAUCAGUUUAGCAUUCCUUUAUCCUAGUCUUCUUUAAUUUUUUAAACAUUAAUGGACUGUUUUUAAAAGUAGUAAUCAAGCAGCAUGCUGAUAAUGCAAAGUCUUCCAUGGCAUUUCUCUUGCCUUUAGCUAAUAUUUGUAAUUCUUUGUUAAUAUGUUUUGGUAUGUGUGUUUUUUUCUGCAGCUGUUAGGACAUGGCAAAAUUACAGUUGAGUCUAAAAACUAGCAACUUCUUGUUCUUCUCAGGAAAGCCAAGAAAAACGAUAUAAUGAAACAUUAAAACCAAUCUCUAAGGAAUCAAAUGUGGAAUAUCUAGGUUUCAGUGCUAUCAUUGGUAGGCACUCAGUAAAUAUUUGUUAAAAUGACUGACAGAAUUUUUAUUAAGUGAAUAGAAUUUAUGAUCAUUUCAAACCCUUACAAUCUAGGUUUCAAAGGCAAAGCAAGUAGGUAAAAAUCAAGUUUCUUUUUGGAGACACAUAAGGCACAACUAAUGACAGCACUGACUUCCCGAAAAGUCUCGAAGUUAAUUGUGUAUCACUCACUAGAACGUCAUCCUUUGAAAAGACAGCCAACGACAUCCACAUUGCCUUGCAUGCAAUGCCCUACAUUUCCACGGACCACAUCCAGUGUCCUCAUUUCUGUUUGAGGCCCAGGGGAAGCAUGCCUGGUCUUUCUCUUUAUUUCACAGCUUGAAAUUACCCAUCUGCCAAUAGAUCAAUAGUAUUAGUCUAUUGUCUUGUAACUUCUUUAAGGGAAAGAACAUCUAGGAGUCAUGGUGCUUUUAACAGAACACGAUGAAGUAUUGCUAUGACAACCUUAAUUGUAUAUUAUAGGCAAAUCAGAUACCACCUUGAGAAGACAAGAUAAACAAUUGCCUGCACUAAUGGCUUAAGACAAAUUUAUGAGAAAAAAAUGCUUAUAAUUUAGAAAGCUGUAUC
rnacentral:lncRNA from 1 species